CCGUUAGCCCUCCGUCAUCUCGCCUCCUCUGCUGCUCAAAUAUACGCUUUUCCCCCGGUUUCUCUCUCCCUCGCUCGUCCCGCUCAAAAUUCCUCCCGCUUGCGACCUCCUCUUACUUCCUCUGCGACUUCGCCUCCUUUGAUCGUGAACCCACCGCGCCCGCCGGUUGCCUCCGCCUUCCCUUCCAGAAAACCCAUCUGCUCUCUCUCUCUCCUCCGCGAAGCGCCGCUCUUUUUGUGAACCGCGCCUCCGACCUCUGCCGCUUGCCUUCGCCGUCGCCUCCCGGAGCCCGUCGGUGGCUCAGAUCCCGACCACGCGGCCGCCUCCCCCUACGUCGUCGCCUCCGAAGCCCCCAUUGGCGAUUCGUCCUCUGCCCUCUCUCUCUGUCCCAAGAAACGGCACCGCUUGGCUCUCUGUGACGAACCGCGCCUCCGCCGUUGCCUCCCGAAGCCCCUUUGGCGAUCUCGGGCUCCGACUCGGCCUCUGCGUUGCCUCCGAAGCCCCAUUCUCAGGUUAGGGUUUUAUAUGACUUGAACUUAUUCUCGUCGUUUUUGCCCUAAUUUUGAAGAUCGUCCUCUGCCCCUCUCUCUCUGUCCAGAGAAAUGGCUCUGCUCGGCUCUCGAAGCUGGCGCUGGUGGUGGUGAUGGUGGGGUUGAGGUGUGCAAGUGCGACAAUCGCGGCGCGGGCCAAAGCUCCAUGCCCGCCAACAAGUCGAAGUACACAUGAGUUCGAUCUACGCAUACCGUGAGCUUUCUAGUUCGUUUGAGUGUGUGCUGCUUCGUGGAGUUUCUUGAAUCAGGAGCGUAUUCACAGGAGAAUGGUUGCCAGAUGGUGCAAAGCUGAAAUGCUGCUUCAGCUUUCCUUGGACUAAUCGUGCACAUUGGAUGGCUUUCUUAGUCUUUUAGUUUGAUGAUAAUUUGGUGUUGUUCCAAAAACAUUUUAAUGAAAAUUGACUUUGACUUUCGAUGUGAUUUCUGGAGCAGGACAAAGAUUAUGGCGAAAGAUGUGAUUGCUGUACUCAAUCACCUGGGAUGGGAAAGAGCCCAUGUCAUUGGCCAUCCAAUAGGAGCUAUGAUCGCUUGCAAGUUGGCUGCCAUGGUGCCCAACAGAGUUUUAUCUUUAGGAUUGCUCAACGUGACUAGUGGAGGCUAUGAAUGUUUCCCAAAGCUAUUGCAUCCAUUUCAGUAUGCGAUGGUCCUUCCUUUGAAUAGAGAUUGACAUUUUUCUCCAUGCAAACUAAAAGGACCGGCGAACCAUCUCAAUUGCAAUCCGCUUUUUUAGGGCUAAAACUCCGGAACAAAGGGCUGCUGUUGAUUUGGAUACCCACUACUCAAAGGAAUAUCUUGAGGAAUAUGUUGGAUGUAGCACCCAGAGGGGCAGUACUCCACAAAGCAUGACGUUGUUGCUCAAAUAUGCCAUGCAAGGAGUCUGGCAGAGAAAUUAAAGCCUGUUGCUAGAAUGAUGAAGCUUGAUGGAGGGCACCUAGUGAGUCAUGAGAGGACUAAAGAGGUACUUUAUUUGAACAAUAAUUGGAAAGCUAGAUACUGUUUUUUUAGAGGGCAGUUUUUCUGGCACUACUACAUGCUUGCUCCAUGAUAAUUUAUAGAGGGCAAUUAGGUUUUCGGAGUGCACUGGACAAACAUGUGAAUAAGUUGGAUGAAAUCAUUCUAGACGGUUAGGUUAGUGCUUAUAGGUUUUGUGCUAAUUACAAUGAAAUGGAUAUACUUUAAUUCUUUCAAUUGACUUCUUGUGUGUAUGAAUUGAGAUCAAAAGGAAUGUGUAAAGUUUAUUCAGACUUGAGAGGUUUUUAGAUGUGGCUUUUGAACAUAUUAUUGCAGUCCAGAGUUUCUCAAAAAUGAGGGAAUCACAUCAAACUGUUUCGGUAUUUUGGUCAUACAAGUUGAUUUAAUUGUUUGGGCUUGAUUGUUGAACGGCAAAAGAUGGAUUGAAGCUAUGCUCAUGUUCAGGUUAAUCAAGCUUCUCGAGCUGAUCAAGGUAUCAGAAAUGAAGGUUGUCUAGCAUGAUUGGACUGACUUGCUUAACAGGUGAAGGACUCUGGCUGUGGCAUACAGUCACAAGAUAUUUCUCAAAUAUUUACCAGAUUUAUUCAUCCUCGAAGUGGAUCUAAUCGAGGUAGUGGCGGUGUAGGACUUGGACUUGCCAUUUGCAAAAGAUUUAUAAAUCUCAUGGGAGGUCACAUAUCCAUCGAGAGUGAAGGCCAUGACAAGGGCACCGACAACACUUUUGUCGGCAAACUACAGAAACGCAGCAAUGCAAAUGACUCGGCAGCACACAAGAUUACAGCUAGAGCUCAGUCUAGUCAUGGUUUGUGCCGAUUUUGCUCAGCACAAACCUCACAGAGAUACUGACAGAACGGUCCCCUCCAACUCCCAGUAUCAAAGAAGUUUUUGAAGUCUCGAAUGCAAGUUGGCGUAUCCCAACGAGGUCUUCCCAAGAUAUCUUUCAGAUGAAAAAUGGGUACUAACUGCGUAAUCCCUCUUCAUCUUGGAGGCCUACACAUCUGAUACUUGAGUGAUACUUCAAAGCAUCAACUUUAUGUCUUGAUUAGAAAGGUCUCGAGGUUGUGAGUAAGAAGUUAUGUAGGGAGGCCUUCUAUUUUUUUGUAAGUAAAAGAGUUUUUGUAUGAUCCAGUAAAUGUCAUAUACUACCGUAGGCGGAUUGGGAUGAAUUCGCUAGAAUGCGAGGGACCCGAUUCAAGUGUCUAAGCAGUCUUGUGAGUAUAACUUUUGAUUGUUCCACUAGAAUAAUUGUUGAUCCCUGCACUCAGUUUUCUUGCGUCUGCACUUAGCCCUACAUAGUCCUAGGAACCAGGUCCAUGAUGCACUCUUGUAUAGUUUGGGAUGAUUCUCAAUGAUGGAAAUUCACAUUCUCUA